rnacentral:tRNA from 1 species
UGCCCAAUGGCCAAGCUGGUUAAGGCACCCGACUGUUAAUCGGGAGAUCCUAAGUUCGAUCCUUAGCUGGGCAG